rnacentral:antisense_RNA from 1 species
GAAACACACUGAUCCUACAUUUGGAAUAUGGAGACACAGAAAGGUUUUGGUUUCAAAGGUAGCCAAGGCAGAAUUACCAGGACUCUACUUAAUGGUUUCACUGUGAAGAAACCAACUUUAAAGAAAAAACUCUCCCUUAAACUGAUAUCAAGCCAUUGUCAAGCGCAUUGUUUUAUCUCUUUAAUGUCUCAUGAAACCAUCAACUUCUCUCCAAAUUCAAGAAAACCAUCACCUGUCUGGAAUACUUAAAUGACCUUUUAAUAAUCCAAAUGUGUUUUUCUAACAUGUCCUCCUGCUAAUCUCUACAUUUGAGCCAAUCAAUUGAUUGCUGAUGUCACUACUGCUCAGACCCAUCACAGCAUCUCCACUUAAACUCUCAAACAGCUUCGAAUGACUCUUAUAAGGAAAAUCAAAAGCCUUAGGCCCACAUGUCCCCUCCCUCAUAUUCAAUAAUAUUCUACACAAA